rnacentral:rRNA from 1 species
UACGUAGGGGGCUAGCGUUGUCCGGAAUCAUUGGGCGUAAAGAGCGUGUCGGCGGCUCGGUAAGUCUGCUGUGAAAGUCCAGGGCUCAACCCUGGAAUGCCAGUGGAAACUGUCGAGCUAGAGUCCGGAAGAGGCGAGUGGAAUUCCUGGUGUAGCGGUGAAAUGCGCAGAUAUCAGGAGGAACACCAAUGGCGAAGGCAGCUCGCUGGGACGGUACUGACGCUGAGACACGAAAGCGUGGGUAGCAAACAGG